CUAAACAUGCAGUCGACGAACCCUUCGGGGUUAGUGGCGCACGGGUGCGUAACGCGUGGGAAUCUGCCCUUUGCUUCGGAAUAACAGUUAGAAAUGACUGCUAAUACCGGAUGAUGUCUUCGGACCAAAGAUUUAUCGGCAAAGGAUGAGCCCGCGUAGGAUUAGGUAGUUGGUGGGGUAAAGGCCUACCAAGCCGACGAUCCUUAGCUGGUCUGAGAGGAUGAUCACCCACACUGGGACUGAGACACGGCCCAGACUCCUACGGGAGGCACCAGUGGGGAAUAUUGGACAAUGGGCGCAAGCCUGAUCCAGCAAUGCCGCGUGAGUGAUGAAGGCCUUCGGGUCGUAAAGCUCUUUUACCAGGGAUGAUAAUGACAGUACCUGGAGAAUAAACUCCGGCUAACUCCGUGCCAGCAGCCGCGGUAAUACAAGACCGAAACAACACCGGCUAACCUAACUACCUGCCA
rnacentral:rRNA from 1 species